CACUGGUAGAGCAACUUGCUAGCUCACGUAGCUCAUCAAACACGGCAUGUUUGAGGACAACCCGACAAAUUUCUGGUCUCUUUCUGCAGCACUUGGGCCAAAUAUAUGAAGAUGGUUGGAAGUGAGGCGGAGUCGACUGGAUCCGCCCGUCCUGCCAGAUGUGCUCCUGGUGCGGAUGAUACAAAUUCUCCAGGUUUGAUUACUUCAUCAGAUCGGUGAGCAUUAAAGCUUAAAUGUGCUUAAAUGACCGGUGUCGUGCCGAU